UCCGUAAGGUGACCUGCGGAGGGAUCAUUACCGAGUUUACAACUCCCAAACCCCUGUGAACAUACCAAUUGUUGCCUCGGCGGAUCAGCCCGCUCCCGGUAAAACGGGACGGCCCGCCAGAGGACCCCUAAACUCUGUUUCUAUAUGUAACUUCUGAGUAAAACCAUAAAUAAAUCAAAACUUUCAACAACGGAUCUCUUGGUUCUGGCAUCGAUGAAGAACGCAGCAAAAUGCGAUAAGUAAUGUGAAUUGCAGAAUUCAGUGAAUCAUCGAAUCUUUGAACGCACAUUGCGCCCGCCAGUAUUCUGGCGGGCAUGCCUGUUCGAGCGUCAUUUCAACCCUCAAGCCCAGCUUGGUGUUGGGACUCGCGAGUCAAAUCGCGUUCCCCAAAUUGAUUGGCGGUCACGUCGAGCUUCCAUAGCGUAGUAGUAAAACCCUCGUUACUGGUAAUCGUCGCGGCCACGCCGUUAAACCCCAACUUCUGAAUGUUGACCUCGGAUCAGGUAGGAAUACCCGCUGAACUUAAGCAUAUCAAAA
rnacentral:rRNA from 1 species